UGAGGAAUUAUGCGCAAUGGACGCAAGCCUGAUCCAGCGACGCCGCGUGUGUGAAGAAGGCCUGCGGGUUGUAAAGCACUUUUCGAUGGGAACGAAAUGUGCCGGGUUAAUACCCCGGUAAGCUGACGUUACUCAAUGAAGAAGCACCGGCUAACUCUGUGCCAGCAGCCGCGGUAAUACAGAGGGUGCAAGCGUUAAUCGGAGUUACUGGGCGUAAAGGGCGCGUAGGCGGUUUAUCAAGUGAGAUGUGAAAUCCCUGGGCUUAACCUAGGAAAGUCAUCUUAGACUGGUAGACUGGAGUGCAGAAGAGGAUAGUGGAAUUUCCGGUGUAGCGGUGAAAUGCGUAGAGAUCGGAAGGAACAUCAGUGGCGAAGGCGGCUAUCUGGACUGACACUGACGCUGAGGCGCGAAAGCGUGGGGAGCAAACAGGAUUAGAUACCCCAGUAGUCCCUGAGCGGGCUGGCAAGGCGCAU
rnacentral:rRNA from 1 species